AACGAACGCUGGCGGCAUGCCUAACACAUGCAAGUCGAACGAUCCCUUCGGGGGUAGUGGCGCACGGGUGCGUCGCGCGUGGGAACCUGCCCUUAGGUUCGGAAUACCUCAGAGAAAUUUGAGCUAAUACCGGAUAAUGUCUUCUGACCAAAGAUUUAUCGCCUUUGGAUGGGCCCGCGUUGGAUUAGCUUGUUGGUAGGGUAAAGGCCUACCAAGGCGACGAUCCAUAGCUGGUCUGAGAGGAUGAGCAGCCACACUGGGACUGAGACACGGCCCAGACUCCUACGGGAGGCAGCAGUGGGUAAUAUUGGACAACGGGCGAAAGCCUGAUCCAGCAAUGCCGCGUGAGUGAUGAAGGCCGGAGGGUUGUAAAGCUCUUUUAUCCGGGAUGAUAAUGACAGUACCGGGAGAAUAAGCCCCGGCUAACUCCGUG
rnacentral:rRNA from 1 species